rnacentral:rRNA from 1 species
UACGUAGGGUGCGAGCGUUAAUCGGAAUUACUGGGCGUAAAGCGUGCGCAGGCGGUUUUGUAAGCCAGAAUGUGAAAGCCCCGGGCUCAACCUGGGAAUGGCAUUUGGGACUGCAAGGCUUGGAGUUUGGCAGAGGAGACUGGAAUUCCUGGUGUAGCAGUGAAAUGCGUAGAUAUCAGGAGGAACACCAAUUGCGAAGGCAGCUCGCUGGGACGUUACUGACGCUGAGACGCGAAAGUGUGGGGAGCGAACAGG